AGAGUUUGAUCCUGGCUCAGGAUGAACGCUGGCGGCGUGCUUAACACAUGCAAGUCGAACGAUCCUUCGGGAUAGUGGCGGACGGGUGAGUAACGCGUGGGAAUCUGCCCUCAGGAGGGGGAUAACGGCUGGAAACGGCCGCUAAUACCCCAUAUGCCGAGAGGUGAAAUGAAUUUCGCCUGAGGAUGAGCCCGCGUCUGAUUAGCUAGUUGGUGGGGUAAUGGCCUACCAAGGAAACGAUCAGUAGCUGGUCUGAGAGGAUGAUCAGCCACACUGGGACUGAGACACGGCCCAGACUCCUACGGGAGGCAGCAGUGGGGAAUUUUCCGCAAUGGGCGAAAACCUGACGGAGCAACGCCGCGUGAGGGAUGAAGGCCUCUGGGCUGUAAACCUCUUUUCUCAAGGAAGAAGACCUGACGGUACUUGAGGAAUAAGCCACGGCUAAUUCCGUGCCAGCAGCCGCGGUAAUACGGGAGUGGCAAGCGUUAUCCGGAAUUAUUGGGCGUAAAGCGUCCGCAGGCGGCCUUGUAAGUCUGUUGUUAAAGCGUGGAGCUCAACUCCAUUUAAGCAAUGGAAACUACAAGGCUGGAGUGUGGUAGGGGCAGAGGGAAUUCCCGGUGUAGCGGUGAAAUGCGUAGAUAUCGGGAAGAACACCAGUGGCGAAGGCGCUCUGCUGGGCCAUAACUGACGCUCAUGGACGAAAGCCAGGGGAGCGAAAGGGAUUAGAUACCCCUGUAGUCCUGGCCGUAAACGAUGAACACUAGGUGUCGGGGGAAUCGACCCCCUCGGUGUCGUAGCCAACGCGUUAAGUGUUCCGCCUGGGGAGUACGCACGCAAGUGUGAAACUCAAAGGAAUUGACGGGGGCCCGCACAAGCGGUGGAGUAUGUGGUUUAAUUCGAUGCAACGCGAAGAACCUUACCAGGGUUUGACAUCCUGCGAACCCCUGAGAAAUCGGGGGGUGCCUUCGGGAGCGCAGAGACAGGUGGUGCAUGGCUGUCGUCAGCUCGUGUCGUGAGAUGUUGGGUUAAGUCCCGCAACGAGCGCAACCCACGUCUUCAGUUGCCAGCAUUCAGUUGGGCACUCUAGAGAGACCGCCGGUGAUAAACCGGAGGAAGGUGUGGAUGACGUCAAGUCAUCAUGCCCCUUACAUCCUGGGCUACACACGUACUACAAUGCUACGGACAAAGGGCAGCAAGCUCGCGAGAGUUAGCAAAUCCCAUAAACCGUGGCUCAGUUCAGAUCGUAGGCUGCAACUCGCCUACGUGAAGGAGGAAUCGCUAGUAAUCGCAGGUCAGCAUACUGCGGUGAAUACGUUCCCGGGCCUUGUAC
rnacentral:rRNA from 1 species